UACGAGUGCCUCAAGCGUUAUCCGGAAUCAUUGGGCGUAAAGGAUGUGUAGGUGGUUGUGUUAGUCUUUUGUUAAAUUCUUCGGCUUAACCGGGGGCAUGCAAGGGAAACGGCACGACUAGAGGAUGCGAGGGGUCUGUGGAACUCAUAGUGUAGCGGUGAAAUGCGUUGAUAUUAUGGGGGAACAUCAAAAGCGAAGGCAGCAGACUGGAGCACUCCUGACACUGAAACAUGAAAGCGUGGGUCGCGAAUGGG
rnacentral:rRNA from 1 species